UGGAGAAUGUGAACCACCUGUUGCAAUGAACCCAUAAUACUCUGGAGAAGACUAUUACUGAAUUUGUCAUCUCCAUAUACUGGCUUUCCUGGCAAACAAAAGGCUCCUUAUUACAUGGUCACGCAAAUAUAUAACUAGUCAUGAACAUUAGCUGCAAAAAUAACUUUACUUUGGAUGACUCUUUCCAAUGGUUUUCUUGAGCUCUUUCUGGAAGGCCAAGCCACAAAGGAAAAGUAAGUUUUUAAAAAGGAUUUUUUUGCAUCUAAUAAACAUGACAAUCUACAGUUCACAUUAGGGUGUGUGUGUGUGUACUGCUACCUUCAAUUCCCUCUGGAUUUGUGUAAAUUCUUUCCAAAUUUAGCAAUGAACAUCUCAGAAAGGAAAAAUUUGGAAGGGAAAUAUUAAUAUUGAUAAAAGUAAUAAAAUAAAAUCAAACAUAGAAGUGGAAAAUUUGAAGAGUAAAAGCAUGAAGAAAAGAACAAUAAGUACAUGAGAAGUAAAAUGGAGAUGCCCUUUACUUUACAUAAAUAUUAACUUUCUGAAUUAAAAAAAAAGUGAAAAAGAACAGUUAAUAGUAAUUUGAAGCCUCCAAUUUAAAGAGAAUUUCAACCUAGAGUUGAUGAUAUGUUAGGUAGUAGUAUCCUUGACACAUGAUUACCCUAUAACUCUGAUGUAAAUCACAUUGUAAAGAUGAGGAUUCAUAGAGAAUAUGAGAACCAAAUUCUUGAAGCUACGCAUUUGAAGUCAAAAGUUCUUUCAUUACAUGGAAGAAACAUCUAUAGUCAUUGAGACAAGUGAAUCCCAAAGGGUUAGAAAACUACUAAAGAAGAAAAAUGACCUGUCAGAUGAUAAUUAAAAUUACCUGCAGGCUUAGCAUUGUUGCUGUGCUACAAUCUCUAGCAUGCUAUAGAGACAUCCAGGAAAAUACCUCUUUCCUCACAAAAUCUAUUUUCAAUCAUAUUACUUGGUAAUAUUUUCCAUGGAACUAUAUUUCUAACUCUAUAUUGAAAAUGAAUAGAUGAAUAGCAUUUUCUUUAUUUUUAAAAUGCUUUGAAAGUCAAUUUUAUGGAAUAUAUCUCUUCAAUAAACCAAGGAGACAGGAGAGGAAAAAAUCAGACAUGGGAUAUAAAUAAUAAUAAGGAAAGAAAUAUAACAAGUAUAGAGAUGAAGGAAAAUUGAAAGGCAGAAAUGUAAAUGCUGCAAUUUUAUCUCCACUUUUUCUCCUGAAUGAUGUUGAAUGCAACAAUUAACCUGGCAUUAACCUCCACCCACAUUUUCCAUUGACUCAGUGGGAGCUCCUCACAGAGCUACAAUUAUGAGCUGCACAUAACACAAAAUUGUUAACCUGCUCAUUUACCAUCUCUCUUAUUCCCUAAAUAUUUUAUCUCAUAUGUUAAUGUGAAAGUUUCACUGACAUCAAAUGUAGCUGCUCUUUCUCAAGAGCUAUAACAAUUAUAUAUGUCUCAUAUGAAAAUGGAAGAUAAAUACCAAAUAUUUGUUUAAAAUAUGUCUUACACAUCUCUUUGUCUUAAAUGUAUAAUAGUCUGAAUAAAAAUGCCAGUCACUAAAGCAUGAUGCUGAAAAUCUAUGGUGGGAAUGUUGUCCAUAUAAAGGCUUGGGGUAAACAGAGGAAGAUUCUUCCCACCUGAUAAUAAACUAUAAUUUCUACAGGCUCAGCGGUAUUUUAAUUUUCCCCAGGCUUAUCGCUAGUUGUAAAAUUGGUGUUAAUAGUAAUUUUAAUAGAACUGACAUAACUGACUCAGGGUAUGUCCCACCAUUUAAAUCUCCACAACUACUUUCUCUCCUCAUCUACCUCAUUGUCUCCAAAAAUUUCAACUGAAUAAACAUAUAAUCAUCAUUUCAAAACUCAUCUUGUAAUGAAGAGGUCUUCCCAAUAACUCCCUAAACCUUCCCCUAAUGAACAUCCUAUCCCUGAUGUAGUACCAGUAUUUUGCUUAUAUCCUAUCUAUGCCAAAACCUCUCACUUCUUUUUUGUUGUUUCAUUAUUAUUCUUUAUUUACAAGUCUGUAAUAUUUAAGCCACCUUAAGACUUAAUUACUACCAUAUUUUUAUAUUACUUGGAGAUUAGCUAAGUUACCACAAUUAGAGAGAGUUAACAAAAGAAUAAAGUUAUUUGGAGGUAUAUACAGGGACAUUUUAGGAAAGGUGUGGGCCAUUAAGAAAUCUUAAGUUCUCAGAAUUUCACACUUAGACCAUUAUAUAUUUUUAUUUGUAUCCUAAUUAUUCUUCUACAGCCAAAUUUAUAAGCCCUUAAAAAAGUAAUCUGCCAUGAUUAUUAGUAACAUUGAAGAAAAUGGCACUGAGUGGUCCUCCAACCAAUGAACCAAGCUGUAGCUUGGUGUGAAAGUCUCCUCCCAUGUCCUGAGAAUGGAGCUAUUCUCUUCAUAUGUGACUAGAGUAUCAUCAGUUGAUAUGGAUAAUUAUGACUUUCUGUUAUUAUAACUUUUAGAAUUAUAUAAUCAUUUUUCUAUAAUACAUUUUAAUAUACUAGUCAAGAAGGACCUCAUAUCAACUUCCUGCUCAAAAAGCUUUGAAGGCCUUCUGAGUGAAUACUAAACUCCUUAGAGUGACCAUCAAAGCCUCCUACAGAACCUGCCAUAUUCUCUCUUUUCUUUUUCCUACCAGCUUCUUUCUACCCAUAAUAUUUUGCUACUCUCCUUCAUGUCUCCUAUGUUCCAGACAAGUAGACUGUUUUAAUAAUAAAAUAUAUUCCACUGUUUCCUAACUCUGUAUAUUUAUACAUUCCUCUACUCCAGUGAUUUAAAUUAUAAUUCAACUGGUUUCCAAGUUUAUAUAUACCUCUAGCUCAGAACUCUCUUCUAAGCUAUGACAUCAGUUAUGUCAUAACCAUUUUGAUAUCUCAAAGCCACAUCAAACUUCAUAGGUUAAAACUAAACACAUGCUCUUUUCUCCCCAAACCAUUCCUUCUUUAAUGGUCCUUAUCACCAUUUAUCCAUUCAUUCAUGUCAGAAGUCUAAGAAGUAUUUUUAAUGUCCAGUCUCCUUUACCAUUUGCCUACAACCUGCCACCAAGGUCUGUUGAUAUUAUCUUCCAAACAUUUCUGGAGUCUAUCCAUUUCACUGAAUUUCAAUUCUGUCUUCCUAGACCACGCCACCAUAUUCUCUCACCUGGAUUGCUAAAUAGACUCUUCAUUGGUCUCCUCUAAUUUACACCUGCUUCAUGCACCCCACUCACUGCCCCCACAUUGCAUGCAGAGAUUUAAAGAAAAUACAAAGUUGUUCAUUUCAAUUAUUAUUCUAUUUAGGAUUACUUAAUAACUUCCCAUUUAUCUUGGGAUGAAAUCCAAAACCCCUACUGUGGCAUUUUCACCUUAACUUGGCAGACUGUCUUGAUCUGUUUCCUUUAGCCACAUUGACCCUUCUGUCUGCUUCUUGAAAAGCACCCUUAUGCCCCAGGAGCCUCCCCUAUAGAGUACUUGAUCUUGGAAUGCUCUCUACAGCCCUCACCUUUGCUGGGUUAAUGUCUAAGGUUUACUCUUCACAUCAUACCAUAAAUGUUACUUCUUUGGAGAAGUUUUUUCUGAAUCCCCAUAAUAGUUUACAUAUCAAUUACAGCCUCUCAUUGCACAAUGUACUUUCCUUAAUAGCAUUGAUAACUAUUUUGAGGAAUAAUUCUUACAAAUACCAUUAAUUCUAGUAGGGUUUUGAUUAUUUUGAAUACUGCUUUAUCUUAAGUGUUUAGCACAGUGUGUGGCACAUAGGAGCCAUUCAAAAUGAAAUUAUCAAGUGAAUGAAAAAUGCAUCU